GUCCAGAGAGUUUGAUUAUGGCUCAGGAUGAACGCUGGCGGCGUGGCCUAAUACAUGCAAGUCGAGCGAGGUAGCUUGCUACCUAGCGGCGAACGGGUGAGUAACACGUAGGUAACCUGCCUUAAGACCGGGAUACCCGGAGGAAACUCCGGCUAAUACCGGAUAACAACGGAGAUGGCAUCAUUUCCGCUUGUAAAGGUGCGUUUGCACCACUUUUAGAUGGACCUGCGGCACAUUAGCUAGUUGGUGAAAUAACAGCCCACCAAGGCGAGGAUGGUGUAGCCGACCUGACGAGGGUGACCGGCCACAAUGGGACUGAGACACGGCCCAUACUCCUACGGGAGGCAGCAGUAGGGAGUUUUCGGCAAUGGGCGAAAGCCUGACCGAGCAACGCCGCGUGAGUGAUAGAAGGUCUUCGGAUUGUAAAGCUCUUUCGGGAGGGACGAAACCUGUGAUCAGGAAAUGGGUCGCAGCUGACGGUACCUCGAAAAGAAGUGACGGCUAACUACGUGCCAGCAGCCGC
rnacentral:rRNA from 1 species